GAAAACAAACUAACCAGGGAUUCUCUUAGUAACGGCGAGUGAAAAGAGAAGAGCCCAGAACCGAAGCCUGUUGUAAAUUAGCAGCAAGGCAAUGUGGUGUUUGGGUUGGCUGUUUGCGGGGCUGCUGUUCCAUUCGAAGUCCAGCACUGAGUAUGGUUACCUAAAAGUUGGCCCAAAGAGGGUGAAAGGCCCGUGCGAAUGGAGGAUCAGGUAUGUGUGAGGCAGUUCCCCCAGCUAAACCCUCGAGUCGGGUUGUUUGAGAUUGCAGCCCAAAGUGGGUGGUAGACCUCAUCCAAGGCUAAAUACUAGCACGAGUCCGAUAGCGAACAAGUACCGUGAGGGAAAGUUGAAAAGUACUUUGAAAAGAGAGUAAAGAGUUCGUGAAACCGCAUACAGGUAAACGGGUGGUGUCAAACUGCAAGCCCAGAGAAUUCAGUUGAUGAAGGCAGCUAGCUAACUAACUGAUAGGCAAGAUACUGCGUGCUGAUAGACUUGUUUUACUUGCUGUCAGAGCAGGCAGUUGUUAGCAUAGAGAUAGAGAGAGAGCUCUUUCAUCAAUGCACUUUCUCUGACUAGCCUAUAUGGCGGUGAACACCAUGACCGGCGGUAUUGCCAGUCUGUCUUGGCCAAUCAUGCGUAUCUAUCUAGGCAGAAAGGUUUUUUUUUAAAAAGCUUUUACUACCUACCUGGUUAGUGCGCAUUGACAUAUACAGGUAGAUUUAGUGGACGGUGUACUGAUAGUAACUGGAUGGGUUACCGAAAAGUCUAUUGGUGCAUGUAUUCGGUCACUAGCUACCAACGGUGUGCAUGCAAAUGUGGCGCAUUUAAUUAGGCGUCUACGUGCUCCGGUAGGCCAAGAUAGUAUGUGUAACUGUGCAAGGCGUCGGAGACAAUGGUCCUGCGCUGGUGUAUUAAUUGCGCUUUAUUGCUAUGCAUUCUGUGCUAUGCAUGAAGUGCUGUUGAUGCAUGCGGUUGCAGAAGCGUUAGCCUACUCACAUGUAGAACAGUGCAGCCAGGCUUUAAUAGCACUAGAACAGCCAGGAGUCAGGUAGGACUAAAUGCGCUAGCAGGAUUGGCGUGUUUUAUUAAGCUGACGCAAAUGUCGGCCCGCCAAUAGUCCUCUGGCUAUAGCCGGUGUUUGUAAGUGCUAGUUUGGUAUCUGGUGAGUGGGUAUUUGCUAACUCGGUGCAUAACUAACUUUAGUUGUUUACUAAUUGCUUGCGCAUAUCUAUGUGUCUAGCUGUUAGUGUACAGCUAGAGAGAGUGUUGCUUGAGUGUGCAGCGUAACUGCAUAGCCGUAUUAUGUAAAUAAAUGUAGGGGCCUUAAAGUCUAUGGUGUAGUGGUAGACUUGCCACCCGACCCGUCUUGAAACACGGACCAAGGAGUUUAACUUGUACGCGAGUCAUUGGACAGUACGAAAGCCAGCGGCACAGUGAAAGUAAAGCCUUGCAUUAUUAGCAAGGUGAGGUGGGAUCUUGUUCUAGUGCAUAAUUGCCUUCUUCUUUUUGUUAUGCAUUAGUGGAAGUGCAAAAGAUGCAAGUGCAAGCGCACCACCGGCCCGUUCCAUGGUGUAGUUAGCUUACUAAGCUAGUAAAUACUAGCUUAUUAAAAGCUGCGUCACCGGAGCGGAGCAGGAGCGUACAGGUUGAGACCCGAAAGAUGGUGAACUAUGCUUGCGCAGGUUGAAGCCAGAGGAAACUCUGGUGGAGGACCGCAGCGAUUCUGACGUGCAAAUCGAUCGUCAAACGUGAGUAUAGGGGCGAAAGACUAAUCGAACCGUCUAGUAGCUGGUUCCCUCCGAAGUUUCCCUCAGGAUAGCUGGCACUUCAGAGCAGUUUUAUCCGGUAAAGCGAAUGAUUAGAGGUACUGGGAUCGCAACGAUCUCAACCUAUUCUCAAACUUUAAAUGGGUGAGAUACUUGACUCGCUAGACUAAAAAUUGUAUCACUUAUAGACUUAUCUGUUAGAGUACUCUAGCGCAGUAAUUCCAUAUAUAUAUCUAUAUAUAUCUAGUUCUGCGCUAUAGUAAUUGUGCAGAGUAGAUGAGUGUUGCAGUGAAUGGAGUCGAGGUGUGUGUAGAAUGCGUGCAAGUGCCAAGUGGGCCAUUUUUGGUAAGCAGAACUGGCGCUGUGGGAUGAACCAAACGCUUAGUUAAGGUGCCUAACGCUGACGCUCAUGAGAUACCACAAAAGGUGUUGGUUAAUAUAGACAGCAGGGCGGUGGCCAUAAAAGUCGGCAUCCGCUAAGGAGUGUGUAACGACUCACCUGCCGAAUUGACCAGCCCUGAAAAUGGAUGGCGCUGGAGCGUCGGACCUAUACUGGGCCGUCAUUGUAAGCCUACUGGUAUAAAAAAAAUUAACAGUGGGUGAAAGGAGUACGAUGACGAGUAGGAGGGUCGCCGUGGUGAGCGUAGAAGCUAGGACGUGAGUCUGGGUGGAGCCGCCACGGGCGCAGAUCUUGGUGGUAGUAGCAAAUAUUCAAGUGAGAACCUUGAAGGCCG
rnacentral:rRNA from 1 species